GCUGGUAGUGAUGCUCACAGGACUGGGAGGUCGGGACUCAAGAAUAACGGGACAAACAGGAUUACUGGGCCUCACUUUUCUCCUAGUGGUGCUCCGAGGGUUGCUCGGCCUCCCCUCAGGUCUGGAAGGCUGUACAUAAGACUGGACCAGGCCAACGGGGCUAACAGGCCGUCUAUUGGGGCAUUGAGGGUUGCUAGUCCUCCCCUCAGGUCUGGAUGGCUGUACGUCAGGCUGGACCAGGACAACUGGUCUAACAGGCCGUCUAUUGGGGGGCCGAGGGUUGCUUGGCCUCCCCUCAGGUCUGGAAGGCUGUACGUCAGGCUGGACCAGGACAACGGGGCUAACAGGCCGUCUAGUGGGGCGUCGAGAGUUGCUAGGCCUCCCCUCAGGUCUGGAUGGCUGUACGUCAGGCUGGACCAGGACAACUUGUCUAACAGGCCGUCUAGUGGGGCGUCGAGAGUUGCUUGGCCUCCCCUCAGGUUUGGAAGGCUGUACGUCAGGCUGGACCAGGACAACUGGUCUAACAGGCCGUCUAGUGGGGCGUCGAGAGUUGCUUGGCCUCCCCUCAGGUUUGGAAGGCUGUACGUCAGACUGGACCAGGACAACUGGUCUAACAGGCCGUCUAGUGGGGCGUCGAGAGUUGCUUGGCCUCCCCUCAGGUCUGGAAGGCUGUACGUCAGGCUGGACCAGGACAACUGGUCUAACAGGCCGUCUUGUGGGGCGUCGAGGGUUGCUAGGCCUCCCCUCAGGUCUAGUGAUGCUGACAGGGAUUCUAGGAAUCAUCAUCUCAUGCUGGUGCAGGCUCUCUGGGCUGCUGGGCCGGGAAUCAGGUAGAAGCUUGUAGUUCUUC
rnacentral:lncRNA from 1 species